UUAUUAGAGUGGUAGUGAUGUCGUCUUUUCUUCAGAUACUGUCUGUAGAUGGAAAAGGGACUACAUCAUCAGACUGAUUCAGUUCUACAAGUUCAAAUAUUUGAAUUGAGGACUCUGCUGAACAUGAAGAAAAAAUACCGUAUUGGGAGAAGAUGGCAAGAGUCUGAUUCAAACUUCCAGUCUACCCUUAAAGAUGUGGACCGUGAGCUCAGAGUCCAACUCAAAGGCUAGAACUGUAUCAAGGGAGAGAGCAGUCCUCCUCCCCCCGAGAAGAAUAUAUCCAGCUUUGCUUCAGAUGGGCAGGGCAUUGCCAUUAGACUCUCCAAGCAGGUAGCCAGCUCCAACAAUAGACUGAGACAGGCAAUAAAAGAAUACAACAGCAUUCAAUGGUCACCGCAGAUGAGCUUCUUACCUGCGACAAUUGAUUUUCAGGAAUCAUGUGAUCCCUCUUGGCAUGUCUACUUCUGCUUUGAUGACACUGU